UUUCAGCGGAUUUGGGUGUGACUGGUAAGUGCACAACACCUCGUUGAUAGCAUUUUAGCUGGGAAUUUACGUUCCGCACCGGUGAGACCGUCGAAUGCUAGCGAUUUACACAUAAACGCGUAGAAGGAGCUCUAGUGCGCGUGACUCAAUUAACACACAAACACGCAGAACUGCAGUGUGCGUGCGCAGAACGAUUGUGCGAGCGGCGGAACGUGAAAACAUUUCGGGCUCCGCACUUGAAGCCAACUGACCGGCGCUUGAAGUUGCGUCCAUUUGGUUCCGCCGCCGUUUUGCAGCCAAGCUCACAGUGUCUCGGCAAGACGCGCUCGUCAAGAACACGAAAUCUAUGCAGUUCCAUGCGCUCUCUCGGGACGCUACAUCUGCGAGCGGCUGUUACGUAAGCUACGCUCAGCUAAUAGAGCCUAUUUCUUUUGGCUCGUCGUAGCGUGUGUUUCAACGGCCAGUACGAGAUAUUUCGGCUUAUAACUUGUAUGCGGAAAACCUCUACAUGAAGUCCGACAGUCUUGUGGAGUUGCGCGUUUCCUAGGACAACCACUGCGCUUUCGCUGGCAGUUAUGAUCAGUAUUCAAACACCGGCAAAGUUCGGCGCGCUCGCCGUAUCAGGCGGCUUGCCCGCAGCGUCGGCCCGCACACACAACAGGAGACGGCACGACUCGCUCCAGCUUUGUGUUAUCUUAAGCCCCGAUAUGACACCGAACAACACUAAAUCUGCCUAACCCCUUUCUGCAAUUUCUGACAGCUCGGCGGUCGGUGCAACACUCGCACACGUGAAUGCAAACAGAUGUAUUAAGUGUCGUUUUCUUCCGUUUUGCGUCUAAUUGCAGAGAGAAUAUGGCUCGCCUAAUAUUUAUUUUUGUUACUUUUGUUGAGUGUGCCUGCCGAAUCACUACAGUUUAUGCACGAAAAAAAGAGUUAUAUUUUGGUUUGACUUGUGCUUCAAAAAAUGGGAGAUGUAUCGCUUCACAUUGAGUUGCACAGCUGUGCAACAUUGUACUGUGUUGUGAAAAUGUUUUUCUUCAUUUGCAGCUGCAACUUGCCAGACAAAGUUUAAAAACCUAAAAGACACCUUUACAAAACUGAAAACCAAAAUCAAGGACAAAAGCAAAAGUGGGGCCGGAGCCAAGGACAUUCCCUCCGUUAAGUGGAAGCAUAUUGAGGCGAUGCUGCCAAUAAUGGAGAAAGUGUACGAGGCGCCCAUCAUAUGCAGCAACAUCACUUUUCAGCAGACCAGAGGGUCAGAAUGUCACUCUGAGGAACUUGCCACAAGCAAAGACGAAGUCGAAGACGAGUUUUUGUGCAACGACAUCUUUGAAGAUGAUGCAGUGAACCUGGAGAGGUGUGGCAGCAGCUCAUCCGAGAGAAGUGGUCGUCGAGCUGCAACGACUGGCAGUGCU